AAGUGAGGUUUUGAUUUAAAAUUUAAUUUUGAUUUAGUUAUGAAUUAGAAUUAAUAAUAUAUUGAAUAAUAGAUUAUGAAGAAUAUCCUCAAGGUUAAUUGAUCCGUUCGUUCAGUAUUCUGUGAGAGGUGAGUGAUGAACCAUCUUCUCGAGAUAUUUUAUAAUUUAUUUUGAAAGUAAGUAAUUAUUUUUUAAAUUAUGUAUAAUUUAUGAAAUUAUAUUUUGAAUAGCAAGUGAUUUAAAGAAUUGAUAUUUUUGAAAUACUAUAAUUUAUUGAUUAUGUAUAUG
rnacentral:lncRNA from 1 species